AUCCCGAACUCAGAAGUGAAACGCAAUCGCGCCGAUGGUAGUGUGGGGUCUCCCCAUGUGAGAGUAGGUCAUCGCCAAGCGC
rnacentral:rRNA from 1 species